AUUAUUAUUAUGUUUAUUUAAUAUAAUUAGUUUGACUAAUUUAAUUUCAAGACUUGCCAUUUUCUUCUCCAGCUCCUGCCCCUUGGUAGAUUGGUUUUCUCAACUCAUACAGCACACAGUACUUCUGCCAUUAAGAAAAUACGAAAUUUUGGAAGCGGCAUCUUGGAAACGCCAUCAAAGUGCUAGAAGAAAGUGCGCUUUCUCUAAUUCACAUUCCAUAGAUCUGUUAAGAUACACGAUACUAGGAAACCCAGCAGCUCUGGAUCAGCUGCACCAAGGCGAGAAACAACAUCCCUCAGAAAUUUGAUCAGGUGGAAAAUAACAGAUAAAUGGAUUAUCAGUUAUGCCCAGGAAAGAAAACAACCAUUACAAGUUUAUCAGAAACCAUGGAGAUGCAGAAGUCAAGCCAGAGAAAAGAAGGCAAGUUUGGGACACAUGAAAUCAG
rnacentral:lncRNA from 11 species